GAGCUCAGUCGGUAGAGCAUGAGACUCUUACAUCUCAGGGCCGUGGGUUUGAGCCCCACGUUGGGUU